rnacentral:rRNA from 1 species
CACGUAGGGCGCAAGCGUUGUCCGGAAUUAUUGGGCGUAAAGAGCUCGUAGGCGGUCUGUUGCGUCCGCUGUGAAAACUCGGGGCUUAACCCCGAGCCUGCAGUGGAUACGGGCAGACUAGAGGUAGGUAGGGGAGAAUGGAAUUCCCGGUGUAGCGGUGAAAUGCGCAGAUAUCGGGAGGAACACCGGUGGCGAAGGCGGCAUCCUGGACCGGUAUUGACGCUGAGGCGCGAAAGCCAGGGGAGCAAACGGG